rnacentral:rRNA from 1 species
UAACUUUAGAUUAAAUAGGAAUACUUAUUAAACUUAAGUAUAUUAAUAAAUAGAGGAAAAGAAACUAAUAGGGAUUAUUUUAAUAAUAAUAAGUAAAGUAGUAAUAGUUUAAAUUUAAAAUCUAGCCUCUAGGGCUUGAAUUAUAAUUUAUAGAAGAUAUUUUAAGUAUAGUACUUUCCGAGGUCUUUAGAAUAAGAUAUUAUAGAAAAUAAGAGUUCUAUAUAAUUAGAUAUUAAGUUUAUAUAAAGCUUUUUUAAUAAGUUAAGUAGUUUAAGAAUACUGUUUAAAAUAGGAAGUAUAUUUCUUCUAAAGCUAAAUAUUAGCUAGAGAUUAAUAAUAUAUAAGUAGAAUAAUUAAAAGAUAAAAAGUAAUUUAAAAAGAGGGUUAAAUAGUAUAUAAAAUUAUUAAAAGAGAAGUACUUAUAAUUAGACUUAUGUUUAGUAGAUUACUUAGUUCUUAUAGUUAGAGUAUUCUACUAGUUUAAAUUAGUAUUAGCUUAUUAUUAAGGAUAAAAACUUUAGGAAUAUAGCUUUUUCUAAAGAGUAUUAUAACUUAUUAUAUAAUACCUUUUAAUAAGCUGAAGUAUAUAUUCUAUAAGGAUAUUAGUAUAAUAGUUAUUAGUAAUCCAUCUUAAAAUAGAAACUAAAAAGUUAAUUUUAUAUAUAGGUAUUUAGGUAUUAAACUUCUAUAUAUAAUAAAAGUAAAUAUAGGUAAGAGUUUUAGCGUAUUAUUAAUUAAUCCUAAUAUUUUUAGAUAGAUUUGAAUAAGAGUAUAUAGGGUUAGACUUCAAAGAAGGUAAACUAUAUAUAUAUAGGGUAAAGCUAGAGGAAACUCUAGUAGAAGUUUAUAGUAAUUCUAAUAUAUAAAUUAAUUAUAAAAUAUAUAUAUAUAAGGGUGAAAAACUAAUUAAACUUUCUAAUAGCUAGUUUCUACUAAAGUUUCCUUUAGGAUAGUAGUAUUAAAUUUAGUUUUAUAAAGUAAAAUAAAUAAUUAGGAAUUUAGGAGUGCUAUAUUAUUUUUAUCUAUUUUUAAAUUUUAAAUAUAUAAGAAGUUUUUAUUAUUUAGUUAAAUAUAAAUAUUUAAAUAUAUUAAUACUAGUAGGUUAUUUUUAGUAAGUAGAAUUAGUAAUAUAGGAUAAACUAAAUGUGAGGUUAAAAUAUUAGAAUAAAUACUUAUUAGAUAUUAUAAAAAGUAUUAGUAUAUUUUAAUAGUAGGAUAAUAGCUAUAGAAGUCGGAAUCUACUAAGGAUUAUAUAAUAACUUACUUAUUAAAUAUACUAGCCCUGCAAAUAGAUAGUACUUAAGUGUCUUAUUUAUACCUUACUUUUAGUAUAGAAAUAAUAUGUUAAAAAGUAGGUAGAUAUAGAAAUUAGUAAUAGAACCUAAGGUAUAAGCUUAAGUAAAAUAGCUUUUAGUAUAAAUUUUAGUAGUAAUAAUAAAUAUUUUAAUAAGAAUUUAAAAGAUUAAAAUAGGGAAAAGUUUUAUAUAAAUAGUAAUUAGAUAUAAAUUAGUUAAUCUUAAGUUAUAGGGAAGUUCUAUUUUAAAAAAGUAUUUAUAUUUUAUAUAGUAAAAAGGAAGCUAGUUAAUAUUCUAAUAUUUAGAUAUAAGUUUUAUAUAGUAAUAUAACUAAAUAUGGAGAUAAUAGUAAGAAUUCUAAAUAGAGUUUUUUUUUCGUUUUAAUAGUUUAUUAUUUUAAAAUUAGUUUAUCUAAAACUAAAGUUUAAUAAUUAGAAAAACCUAGUAUUUCUAUUAAGUCUAAUAUAUUUUUAAUAUUUUUUAAAAAUCCGCGGGAAGGAAUAAUUCUUAUAUUAAAUUAUACUUAUAAUUAUAAUAAGUCUUUAAGGUGAAUAGUUUCUAAUUAAUAGAAUAAUAUAAAUAAAAGAAGUUAGUAAAAUAGAUUUAUAAUUUUAAGAUAAAAAUUAGCUUUAAGGGUUAAGUAUAUUAGGUUUUAAAUAGAUAGCUUAGGAAUAGGUUAUUAUUAGUUAGAUAAUUAGUUAGAAAUUUCUAAUAUUUAAAUUCUAAUACUUUUAAUAGGUUUUAACUAUCUAGUGUAUAGUUAAUAACUAAUUUAGAACUAGUAUAAAUAAAAAAAAUCUAAUUAUCUAAUUAAAAUAUAAUAUUAUAAUAACUAGAAAGUAGUAUUAAUAUAAUAUAAUUUCUAUUUAAUAUUCUAAAUAUUAAAGUAAAGUAAUUUAACUAAAUAUAGAUAAAUAGUAAGAAUAAAUAUAACUUAACCGAGAGAGUUAUUAGAGUAAUAUUAAAAAAAUAACUACUAGUAAAACUUCACGCUUAAUAAUACUAUUAAAUUAUAAAAACUUCCUAGAACUUUCUACUACUAUAGUUAGCUAGGAAUAAUUAGUAUAAUAUUUAAGUUAGUAGCUUAGGGGAUAGUAAUAAUAUAGUUAGUAUAAAAUAACUAUAUAGCUAAAUUUUAUAUUUCUCCUAUAAGAAAUAGGAAUAUAGUUUAACAACUAAAUAGUAGUAGGUUUAAAGGGUAUUAUAAUAUAUAUUUAGGUUUAAGAUAUAAUCUAUAGUAAGCUAAAAAACUAGUACUAAUAUAUAAAUUCUUAAAGUAGCUAAAUACCUCAUUAUUUAAUUAGUAAUAUAUAUAAAUAGAUUAAUAAGAUUCCUACUAUUUCUAUCUAUUAUUUAGUAAAAUUAUAGCUAAAAGAAUAGGUUUAAUAGAAUUAGUAAGGAAAGAAGAUUUUAUUAAGUUUAACUCUAGUUUAAUAUUAUAAAAAAAUAUAAGAAGUAUAAAAUAAGUAAAGGUUUUGGUAUUAGUAAAAUAUUAUUACUCCUAUUAUUUUUUUCUUAUUUAAUAAAAUAGGGCUAGAUUUAUAUCUAACUUCUAGUUUUAAAGUCUUUUAUAGGUUAAUUUCAAUUAAAAAUAUUAUUAAAUAGGGAGUUUAAUUAAAGUAGUAUAUCUAUUAAACCAUAAUAUAAGUAUCCUAAGGGGAGCUUAUAGAAAAUAGAAAUUUCUAGUAGAAUAAAAGGGUAAAAGUCUUUUUGAUUUUGAUUUUUAGUAUAAAUAUAAAUUAUAAAAGUAUAACUUAUUAAUCUUUUAAUCCUUUGAAAUUUGAAGUUAGAAGUACUAGAAAAGUUACUAUAAAGAUUAAUAAUUAGUUCUAAGUAUUAUAAUAGAAAGUAGUAUUUAGUCUAAUA